rnacentral:lncRNA from 1 species
CCUGUGGGCCUAAAAAGACCAAAACAAACAAACAAAAAAAAAAAAAACCCAGAUCAUCUGACUCCAUCCCACGCUUUUAACUACUUAACUUUACUGCCUCUCUACCUACUUAUCUAAAAAAAUUAAAGAUGAAGCCAAAGACAUAACUAGAAUUCAUCAGAUGUAUUACACAUUUAUUAUACAUUCAUCAGAUUUAUUAUGCAUUAAAUUGUAUGUUAAAAUGAUAAAAAUACUUCAGCUAAUGAAAAUCAGUGUUUAUAUAUCUAUAUGUAUGUACACAUGUAUGUAUUUUCAGAAUAUGGAAAGCUGCCAAUAAUAGGUUUCAAAAACAUAGGCUGCAUAAAUGAACAGACGCUAUGAACUUGUUUUAUAAGGAUUAAAAUAAAACUAAUGAUACAUACAGAUCAUACAAAUGCACACUAAAAUAUCCAGAAAUACAUCUUUUUUUUCUCUUUUGUGGCAUAUGGAAGUUCCCAGGCCAGGCAGGGAUCAAACCCACACCACAGCAGUAACCAGAGCCACAGCAGUGACCAGAACCACAGCAGCAACAAUGCCAGAUCUUUAACCUGCUGAGUCACAAGAGAACACCUCUAGAAAUAUAUCUUAAAAUACCAGCAGUGGAGUUCCUGUCAUGGUACAGCAGAAACAAAUACGACUAGGAACCAUGAGGUUGCAGGUUAGACCCCUGGCCUCACUCAGUGGGUUAAGGAUCCAGUGUUGCCGUGAGCUGUGGUGUAGGUCACAGACACUGUUCCAAUCUGGUGUUGCUGUGGCUGUGGCGUAGGCCAGCAGCAACAACUUCGAUUAGAACCCUAGCCUGGGGAACCUCGACAUGCCACAGGUGCAGCCCUAAAAAAGACAAAAAAAUAUCAGCACAACAGCAAAGUUAAGGAAAACAAUCUUGAUUCCUUAGGAGAAUGGCAAGUAGUUCACUACAGUUGAGGCUUUCUACUCACAUUAUUUCCUUAAGUCUUUUCAAAAAUUUCUUCAGUAGUGUCAAACAUCAUGAUCCACAAGUACAAAUAACUCCUCGGAGUUCCGAAUCCGACUAGGAACCAUGAGGUUGCGGGUUCGAUCCCUGCCCUUGCUCAGUGGGUUAACAAUCCGGCGUUGCCGUGAGCUGUGGUGUAGGUUGCAGACGCGGCUCGGAUCCCGCGUUGCUGUGGCUCUGGCGUAGGCCGGUGGCUACAGCUCCGAUUCAACCCCUAGCCUGGGAACCUCCAUAUGCUGCGGGAGCGGCCCAAGAAAUAGCAACAAUAACAACAACAACAACAACAAAAGACAAAAAAAAAGACAAAAAAAAAAACAAAAAAAAACAAAUAACUCCUGGCAAACAUGGUGAUUUCACUAUACUAUUUCUUUUAAACUAUCCAUUAAAAAUAAACAAUCCCUAGUAAGUCUCUAUGUAAAUGCACAAAGAUCUAUGUAAAUGCACAAAGAAGAAAAAGCCAGUUACACUCUUUUGUGUUUUGUCUUGUUUUGUUCCUUUUUGGCCAUACCCACAGCAAUGCACAAGUACCUGUGCAACAGCAGUAACCAGAACCACACUGGGGAUGACUCUGGAUCCUUAAUCUGCUGAACAACUGGGGAACUCCUGUUUUGUUUUCUUUUGGUUAACUACUUUGGUAACUAAUUAUUCUGAUUAAUAUUAGUAGAAAAAAGUCCCAUUGUACUAGAGAAGAAAAAGAAAGCAAUAGGACAGCUUUCAGAAACCAUUACUUCAACUGUAAAAAUUGAAUCAGUCUAGAUGUUUUUGGACUUAAACUAUUGUUUUUUAAAAACUGCUUCAACUAACAUUCAUGCUUACUGAGUAAUAAAAAUGGUAUCAUUAUUUGUUCAGAUUAAAAUCAAACAGGAAAUAUUACAAAGCAUCAAUUAAAAAUAAAUAUGAACACACAGUUCUACAGAACUUAUUUUUCUUUCAAGAGUAACAAAAAAAUGAUGCUUAUUUAGCUGUGCUUUGAUUUGUACAUGAAUGUUAUGGCCAUAUUUUUAAGUAACAUCAAAGUUUUGUAAAUGCUGGAACCAUAGAAAACAGGUACAAACACAAAGAUGUCCUCCUCCCACACCUCUGUUUGUGAUUAUCUCCUUUUCUUGUGCUAAAUUCACCAGCUGGUGCUAAAUUCACCAGUUGGUGCUAUAGGCCAAUGAGUAAGAUAUUCCAUUUAAGAGUAUCUCCUGAAGCACAGUGCUUGUAUAAUCAUCCUGAAGAGAUGGCUCCCUGGGACAGAAACCAGAACCAGGGAAUUCCCGAUGUGGCUCAGCAGAAACGAAUCUGAUUAGUAUUCAUGAGGACACAGGUUCAAUCUCUGGCCUUGCCCAGCGGGUUAAGGACCUGGUGUUGCCGUGAGCUGUGUGGUGUGGGUUGCAGACAUGGCUCUGAUCUGGCGUUGCUGUGGCUGUGGCUUAGGCCAGUGGCUAUAGCUCUGAUUCUGCCCCUAGCUUGGGAACCUCUAUAUGCCAAUGGGUGUGGCCCUGAAAAAAAAAAAGAAAACCAGAACCAGGAGAGGCCUGCACUUAAGGAGCUUUUUUUUUUUUUUUUUUUUGUCUAAUCUGUAGCAUAUGUAAGUUCCCAGGUCAGGAAUCAAAUCUGAGCUGCAGUUCCAACCUAUGCCAAAGCUGUGGCAAAGCCAGAUUCUUAGCCCACUGUACCACAGUGGGAACUCCCAAGGGGACAUUUUAAAAAGAAAGAUGACCUUCAUCACAGGAAAACAGGCCAGAAACUCAUGAGGACAGCAUCCCUUUAGGAGACCACAGAACAAAAAGAACUAAAUACACCUUGUAAACCAGACUUAAAAGUUACUCUCUGGCCUCAUUACCCCUUUGUUUUGUUUAGAAAAGCAUUUUUUUUCAAUAUUCCAGCCUUGUUUCAGCUGUGUCUCAGCAAAUAAAGGGGAAAUGAUUAGGUAGCAAGGGAAUUAUCUGGGCCAGAAUGUUUAAAAAAAAAAAAAA